rnacentral:lncRNA from 10 species
CCGGAGGAGCCACCGCCUCCCCGCCUCCUGGAGACCCUGAGGGAGAAAUUCCCUUUAAGGCUGAAUGCUUGGGCAAGUGACACGUGGUUUUCCUACUGUCGCCCCAACCUUAAAAGAACGAAUCCAGGCGGGGCAUUAGAUGAUUGAAAAGGAGACAAUCAUUUUGGAGCUCAAAAUCGUACUGUAGGCCGGGCGCAGUGGCUCACAUCUGUAAUCCCAGCACUUUGGGAAGCUGAGGU